AAAUUAUCAAGAGAGAUGGAGGGAAAGGCCCUACGAAGUCCAGCAACCUAUUAAAUUAGGUGCUAAAUCCUGCAGGAAUACCUGAAAGAUAAGUA
rnacentral:ncRNA from 2 species